rnacentral:rRNA from 1 species
GACGAACGCUGGCGGCGUGCUUAACACAUGCAAGUCGAACGGAAAGGCCCUGCUUUUGUGGGGUGCUCGAGUGGCGAACGGGUGAGUAACACGUGAGUAACCUGCCCUUGACUUUGGGAUAACUUCAGGAAACUGGGGCUAAUACCGGAUAGGAGCUCCUGCUGCAUGGGGGGGGUUGGACAGUUUCGGCGGUUGGGGAUGGACUCGCGGCUUAUCAGCUUGUUGGUGGGGUAGUGGCUUACCAAGGCUUUGACGGGUAGCCGGCCUGAGAGGGUGACAGGCCACAUUGGGACUGAGAUACGGCCCAGACUCCUACGGGAGGCAGCAGUGGGGGAUAUUGCACAAUGGGCGGAAGCCUGAUGCAGCAACGCCGCGUGCGGGAUGACGGCCUUCGGGUUGUAAACCGCUUUCGCCUGUGACGAAGCGUGAGUGACGGUAAUGGGUAAAGAAGCACCGGCUAACUACGUG